rnacentral:misc_RNA from 1 species
GUCCAACUAGUGAAGCCUUCAACAACCGAAAAAAUAUUCCAGGGGAAGAAAGAACAGUAAAAAAUAGCCUAUACAACAACUCUAAAUACAAAGUAUAUUAUUGCAAUUAUAUUAAGUAUAGGGGAAAAGAAUUUUACACAUUUUAAGUGUUUGUAUGAGAAAAACAUCUCCAAGUAUGUUGGUGUGCUAUUACUGUUGCUGCUGUUGCUGUAAGUGAAUUAGCUUAAAGUAUGCUCCAUCUCUGUUCUCUAUCAAUGCAGAGUGAGUCCCUUGAUCGACGAUUUUCCCAUCUUGUAAAACAGAUAUCUGAUCUGCAUCUUUUAUGGUGGAUAGUCGAUGUGCCACGAUGACAGUAGUCCUGUUUCGCAUCAACCUGUCCAAUGCUUGUUGAACUAUACGCUCAGAUUCCACGUCUAGAGCACUUGUAGCUUCAUCUAAUAGUAAGAUUUCAGGGUUCUUUAGAACAGCUCGGGCAAUGGCUACUCUUUGCUUCUGUCCACCGGACAAUUGAACUCCUCGUUCCCCAACUUGGGUCGAGUAGCCAUCAGGAAGAGCACUAAUGAAACUAUGUGCAUUAGCAAGCUUAGCUGCUUGAAUCACUUCUGCUUCAGAUG